GUUGUCGUCAGCUCGUGUCGUGGGAUGUUGGGUUAAGUCCCGCAACGAGCGCAACCCUUGUCAUUAGUUGCUACGAAAGGGCACUCUAAUGAGACUGCCGGUGACAAACCGGAGGAAGGUGGGGAAGACGUCAGGUCCUCAUGGCCCUUAUGGGUAGGGCUACACACGUCAUACAAUGGCCGGUACAGAGGGCUGCCAACCCGCGAGGGGGAGCCAAUCCCAGAAAACCGGUCGUAGUCCGGAUCGCAGUCUGCAACUCGACUGCGUGAAGUCGGAAUCGCUAGUAAUCGCGGAUCAGCUUGCCGCGGUGAAUACGUUCCCGGGUCUUGUACACACCGCCCGUCACACCAUGGG
rnacentral:rRNA from 1 species